GAGGGAGAAGGGAGAGAGGGAGAGAAGGACAUGGAAACCUACAGUGAAAUUUUCCCUGUUUAUAGCUUUCUUGGGGAAGAAAACACAUGCACAAAUCCUGGUGUUAGGAAUAUUUUAAGCGUAUAUCUUCAAUAUUAUUCAUCCAGGACUGAUCAAGACCAACCCUCUUCCUCCUCCUCUGCCUACUCAAUGUGAAGACAAUGAGCAUGAACAACUUUAUGAUGCUCCACUUCCACUUAUUGAAUAGUGCUACACAUGAAACUUCUAACCAGUUACUACAGGCAAAAGCAAAUCCAUUUUCUUCAGGCUGGUGUCAUCAGGGAGAGAAGCUUUGGUUUCCAUAUAAGGAUAUACGAUCAUUGACGUAAAACGACAUGUAACCUCUCAAAUUGAGAGAAUGGAUUGCAGAGCUAUUGUUGACCAUGUUUUCCCCUGUAUCUCACCUUCCCCUCUCCAAGACUUU
rnacentral:lncRNA from 1 species